rnacentral:rRNA from 1 species
UUUUUUCGCCUGAAGAUGAGCUCGCGUCUGAUUAGCUAGUUGGUGUGGUAAAAGCGUACCAAGGCAACGAUCGGUAGCUGGUCUGAGAGGAUGAGCAGCCACACUGGGACUGAGACACGGCCCAGACUCCUACGGGAGGCAGCAGUGGGGAAUUUUCCGCAAUGGGCGAAAGCCUGACGGAGCAAGACCGCGUGGGGGAGGAAUGCCCUAGGGUUGUAAACCCCUUUUCUUUGGGAAGAACGAACUGACGGUACCAAAGGAAUAAGCCUCGGCUAACUCCGUGCCAGCAGCCGCGGUAAUACGGAGGAGGCAAGCGUUAUCCGGAAUGAUUGGGCGUAAAGCGUCCGCAGGUGGCAAUUCAAGUCUGCUGUCAAAGUCCGGGGCUCAACUCUGGUCAGGCAGUGGAAACUAAAGAGCUAGAGUACGGUAGGGGUAAAGGGAAUUCCCGGUGUAGCGGUGAAAUGCGUAGAGAUCGGGAAGAACAUCGGUGGCGAAAGC